AUGGCGCCGCGUCUCCUGCUCCUCGCGCUCGUCGCGGCGGCCGUGGCCGUGCUGCCGGCGAGCGCCGCGGUGGCGAGCAUCGACCUGGGCUCCGAGUGGCUCAAGGUGGCCGCCGUGCACCUCGCGCCGGGCCGCGCGCCGAUCGCCGUCGCCAUCAACGAGAUGUCCAAGCGCAAGUCCCCGGCGCUCGCCGCGCUCGCCGACGGCAACCGCCUCGCCGGCGAGGAGGCGGCCGGCAUCACCGCGCGCCACCCGGCCAAGGUCUUCUCCCGCAUGCGCGACCUCCUCGCCAAGCCCUUCCCCUACGUGCGGGCCCUCGCGGACUCGCUCUUCCUCCCCUACGACCUCGUCCAGGACGCGCGCGGCGCCGCCGCCGUGCGCGCCGACGACGGUCAGGUCUACACCGUCGAGGAGAUCGUCGCCAUGGUGCUCCACUACGCCUCCGGGAUCGCCGACGCCCACGUCGGCCUGCCCGUGCGGGACGCCGUCGUCGCCGUGCCGCCCUACUUCGGCCAGGCCGAGCGCCGGGCCCUCACGCAGGCCGCCCAGCUCGCCGGCUUCAACGUCCUCGCGCUCGUCAACGAGCACGCCGGCGCCGCGCUGCAGUACGGGAUCGACAAGGACUUCUCCAACGAGUCGCGCCAUGUCAUCUUUUACGACAUGGGCUCAGGCAGCACCUACGCCGCGCUCGUCUACUACUCGUCCUACAGCGCCAAGGAGUUCGGGAAGACGGUGUCUGUCAACCAGUUCCAGGUUAAGGAUGUCAGAUGGAACUCCAAACUUGGAGGCCUUGAAAUGGAAAUGCGUCUGGUAAACUAUUUUGCCGAUCAAUUUAACAAGCAGCUUGGCAAUGGGGAUGACAUCCGUCAGUCUCCUAAAGCAAUGGCUAAGUUGAAGAAGCAGGUCAAGCGCACGAAAGAAAUUCUGAGCGCAAAUACUGCUGCUCCGAUCUCAGUUGAAUCUCUAUAUAAUGACAUCGAUUUCAGGAGCACCAUAACACGUGAAAAAUUCGAAGAGCUUUGUGCAGAUUUAUGGGAGCAGGCUCUGACUCCAAUCAAAGAUGUGCUCACGCAUUCAGGCAUGAAAAUUGGUGACAUAUAUGCUGUAGAGCUGAUUGGAGGAGCUACCAGGGUACCAAAACUGCAGGCUAAGCUGCAGGAAUUCCUGGGACGGAGUGAGCUAGAUAAGCACCUUGAUGCUGAUGAAGCAAUUGUUCUUGGUGCCUCACUGCAUGCUGCUAAUCUAAGUGAUGGGAUUAAGUUGAACCGCAAGUUGGGGAUGAUUGACGGUUCUACUUAUGGUUUCGUGUUUGAAAUAGAUGGCCCAGAUUAUGUCAAAGAUGAAAGUACUGAUCAAGUACUGGUUCCAAGGAUGAAAAAGAUGCCAAUAAAGUUGUUCAGGUCCAUUAGACAUACUAAGGACUUUGAUGUCUCUCUCAGCUAUGACAAAGCUUCUGAAUUGCCCCCAGGUGUUUCGUCGCACAAGUUUGCAGAGUAUGCCAUAUCAGGCCUGGCUGAAACCAGUGAAAAGUAUGGAAGCCGCAAUUUAUCUGCACCCAUCAAAGCAAAUCUACACUUUUCUUUGAGUAGAAGUGGAAUUAUUUCUCUUGAUAGGGCAGAAGCAGUGAUUGAGAUAACUGAAUGGGUUGAAGUUCCAAAGAAGAACGUAACACUAGAGACUAAUACCACCGAUGAGACUUUGUCUGCUGAAUCAGGAACAACUGAUAGUACAACAGAUAGUAAGGAGAAUUCUAGUUCAGGAAGUGAUGCUGAUAAUACGAGCACUACCAAUGAUGAGACCAAUGUGCAAGAUACUAUUACAGAGAAGGUGCUGAAGAAAAGAACCUUCAGGGUUCCAUUAAAGGUCACUGAAAAAACAGCUGGUCCUGCAUCAACCCUUUCGAAGGAACUGUAUUCUGAGGCAAAAAGUAGGUUAGAUGUACUUAAUAAGAAGGAUGCUGAGCGGAGGAGAACUGCUGAACUGAAAAAUAACCUUGAGUCUUACAUAUACUCUAUGAAGGAAAAGUUGGAGGAAAGCACAGAUAUGUUGGCCGUCUCAACUGAACAGGAGAGGGAAUCUUUUACAGAGAAACUCAGUGAGGUGCAGGAUUGGCUGUAUAUGGAUGGUGAAGAGGCUCAAGCAAACGAAUUUCAAGAGCGGCUUGAUCAGCUUAAGGCCAUGGGCGACCCAAUUCUUUUCAGAAUGAGUGAGUUAAAAGCCCGACCAGCAGCUUGCGGAAGUGCUCGAUUGUAUCUUACUGAGCUACAAAAGAUUGUGAAGAACUGGGAAACAAGCAAACCAUGGCUUCCAAAAAAGAGAGUAGAUGAGGUCGUAAGUGAAGCAGAUAAGCUGAAAGCUUGGUUGGAGGAGAAGGAAACCCUACAGAAGAGUACCCCUGCCCACAGCUCGCCUGCCUUCACAUCUGAAGAGGUCUAUCAGAAAGUUUUAGCCCUACAAAAUAAGGUCUCUAGCGUCAAUAGGAUCCCAAAGCCAAAACCCAAGGUUGAGAAGAAACCCGCCGUAAAGGAAGAAGCUAACAAGGAGAAGACGGACUCUUCAGAAUCUGCAUCCAGCGAGUCUGAAUCCACGGAGAAGCCGUCAGAAUCGGAUGCCCCUGAGAAGAAUAACGAUUCGGAACCAGAAUCCCAUGACGAGUUGUGA
rnacentral:rRNA from 1 species